rnacentral:lncRNA from 1 species
GUGAUUUAAGACUUGUACGCAAAAUUUUGGUGUCAUUCCGAGUAGUAUAGGUAUAUUUCGGCGCGUUCGAGUAAGUUUGAAGAAUUUGAAAUUUCUAAGUUGAAUCAAUUUGGUUUGGGGUAUGAUUCUUAGAUUUGAUGUUGUUUUACACGUUCCGAGAGUUUGACCGAGUCCGUUUUAUGAUUUCAAAGUGGUUGGUAUGUUCGGACGGGGCCCCGGGGCCCCCGAGUGUUAACCGGACGAGGCUCAGACCAAUUUUGGAAUUUUGAAGAAGAACUGAAGCCUUCUGCUUCUGGUACGUUCGCACCUGAGCUUAGACAGCCGCAGGUGCGAUCCUCGCAGAUGCGAGUUUUGUGCGCAGAAGCGGAAAAGGAAAGGGGAGGCCAUCGCCGCAGAUGCGGAAUUUUGGCGCACCUGCGAACGCGCAGGUGCGAAGAUGCGAGCUUGGCCCAGGCUAGUGAGACUCGCACCUGCGAGGGAUUUCCGCAGGUGCGAAGCCGCAGAUGCGGUCAAUCCCUCCACAGGUGCGAAAAACCUGCUUGGACAGAACCUUAAAAACGGACGAAACUCAGUCCAUUUUUGUCCGUUUUUCUUUCAUGUUUGGGCGAUUUCAGAACUUUUUGAGAGAUGAUUUCAACUAACAACUUGGAGGUAAGUUAAUUCUACACACCUUAAGUUAAAUACAUAGAUUAUGGGUAGAUUAUAACCGGUAAAUCUUAGAAAUCAAGGGUUUAGAUGAAAAACCUAGAUUUGUAUAAAAAUGAGAUUUUAACCACGAAAAUGGUUAUGGAAUUGGAUGGAAAAUAUAUAUUUGGGUUCUUGAGAUUUUGGGUAACGAUUCCCUCCGAAAAUUUCCGGAAUCCGGGCA